GUGGAUUGUUAACUUGGGCUGAGCUUAGGUGAGUGUUGACCGUGGUGUGCUCUAAGCAAACCUAGAUUCAAGGUCUUUGGAGUUCAGCUUACCCUCUGGCAAGGUUGAGACACCAUGGGGGAUGGGUGUGUACCUGCAAAAAAGACACUCAGACUCUCAGUCAUUAAGGAAUCUACCAGCGUCAAUAUAGAAUCCCGGUCAACACCCACCGGAGUUCAAUUCAAGUCAAUAGUUCACC
rnacentral:pre_miRNA from 1 species